GAUGAAGAACGUAGCGAAAUGCGAUAAGCAAUGUGAAUUGCAGAAUUCAGUGAAUCAUCGAAUCUUUGAACGCAUCUUGCGCUCCUUGGUAUUCUGAGGAGCAUGCCUGUUUGAGUGUCAUUAAAUUCUCAACUACACUGACUUUGAAUUGGUGUGGCUUGGAUUUGGGGGGAAAAUUGUUGUGGGCUUUUUGUAUAGUCUGCUCCCCUGAAAUUGAUUAGCGGUACCUUUGUGGAACUGUCUACAGGUGUGAUAAUUAUCUACAUCUUAGACAUCUGCUGGAAUGCUGCUCUCUAAACCUUACUUGUAUUGACAAUCUUGACCUCAAAUCAGGUAGGACUACCCGCUGAACUUAAGCAUAUCAAUAAGCGGAGGA
rnacentral:misc_RNA from 1 species